GCCCUCUUCGUAACCUAAAUAAAUCCUUCCCUUUCUUUCUCUAGUCGCUGCAAUUUCGUUAUUCUUGGGAUUUCCUUGCUCGACUGCCUCUUGCUGGUGCGAGGUCGCCCACCUCUUGCAGUUGCGAGGUCGCCGCAGUUGCGCUUGGCCGCGGUUGCGCUUGGCCGCAUCUCGAUGUGAAGGAUUUCAGAGCCUUUGUCGAGCGAUUCGAGAUAUAUCCCUCCCUUCUUUUUUUUUUUUGGCUUUGAGCUGUCUGUGUUUAUCAUUUAAAGCUUUGAGAUCGAGAGCUUUGUUGCUGCUGGAUACAGGAAUCCAAAUUGGAAGAGGACGCAUGAACCUGGUAGCCAGACAGCGGUAGUGGUGUCGUGGCUUCUAAAGAACGGGGCAACCUAUGUUGGGUGGACAAUCUUGGAUGAAUUUGCAUUUGGUGCUACAGGAGAAAACUUGCUGAUAUCAAUGUUUUGGCUGGGGAAUUAAUGUUUCUAUCAACACUGUAAUGUUCAUGCAAUGAUAUGGAGCUCUAGAGAUCUAUCAGGCCUUAGACACUGAUCUCAAGAUUGUCUCAACAAACUUGGUUGGUUCAUUAAUCCGUAUGAAGUAAUUCAUCUCAUUGUGACAAAAGGCGAAUACGCUCGCCCCCAGCGCCCCCGCUAACCCAUCCCAAGACCAACACGGAGGAGGUAAAUCACGGGCGGCUACUAGCCUUUGGAAUAGUGACUAUCACAUAAGGGAGACAUUUAUCUCGACUUUGCCGAGAUUCGAACCCCAGAUCUCAUUGUGGCAACACCUCAUGUGCUAGCCACUAGACCCAUCCGAGGGAAGUAAUUCAUCUCAUGGAGUUUGAGACAAAGGAGGGCAAAGGGAAGAAAUCAUAGACAUGCAUGCUACUAGUAAGAGGAUAGAUGAAGAAAUUAUUGAAAGUAAAGUAUUGAACUUCUUAUCACA